AUCCAGCUGACGAGUUUCAAAUAGGGUUAAACGCGCAUCCUGGAU
rnacentral:hammerhead_ribozyme from 1 species